AGAGUUUGAUCAUGGCUCAGGAUGAACGCUGGCGGCGUGCUUGAUACAUGCAAGUCGAACGGAGAGUGUAGCAAUAUACUUUUAGUGGCGAACGGGUGAGUAACGCGUUGGUGACCUGCCCCGAAGCGAGGGAUAACAGUUCGAAAGAACUGCUAAUACCUCAUGUGAUCACCGGUUUUAGAAUCUGGUGAUUAAAGGUGAAAAUCACUUCGGGAGGGGCCUGCGUCCCAUCAGCUAGUUGGUAAGGUAAUGGCUUACCAAGGCGAUGACGGGUAGGGGACCUGAGAGGGUGGCCCCCCACAAUGGAACUGAAACACGGUCCAUACACCUACGGGUGGCAGCAGUAGGGAAUAUUGCAAAUGGGCGAAAGCCUGAUGUAGCAACGCCGCGUGUGCGAUGAAGGUCUUCGGAUUGUAAAGCACUUUUUGGAGGGAUGAGGAAGGACAGUACCUCCAGAAUAAGCCUCGGCUAACUACGUGCCAGCAGCCGCGGUAACACGUAGGAGGCAAGCGUUAUUUGGAUUUACUGGGCGUAAAGCGCGUGCAGGCGGUUUGGAAAGUUGGAUGUGAAAGCUCCUGGCUCAACUGGGAGAGGUCGUUCAAAACUUCCAGACUUGAGAGUGGUAGAGGGAGGUGGAAUUCCGGGUGUAGUGGUGAAAUGCGUAGAUAUCCGGAGGAACACCAGUGGCGAAAGCGGCCUCCUGGACCACUUCUGACGCUCAGACGCGAAAGCUAGGGUAGCAAACGGGAUUAGAGACCCCGGUAGUCCUAGCUGUAAACGAUGUGAACUUGGCGUUGGUGGGUUUAAAUCCAUCAGUGCCGAAGCUAACGCGAUAAGUUCACCGCCUGGGGACUACGGCCGCAAGGUUAAAACUCAAAUGAAUUGACGG
rnacentral:rRNA from 1 species